UGUGCACCAUGGCCUGGACUCCUCUCCUCCUCGUGCUCGUCUCUCACUGCACAGGUUCCCUCUCUCAGCCUGUGCUGACUCAGCCAUCCUCUCUGUCUGCAUCUCCGGGAGCAACAGCCAGACUCACCUGCACCUUUAGCAGUGGCUUCAGUGUUGGUGGCUACUACAUAAACUGGUUCCAGCAGAAUCCAGGGAGCCCUCCCCGGUAUCUCCUGGCGUAUAAAUCAGACUCAGAGAAGCACCAGGGCUCUGGGGUCCCCAGCCGCUUCUCUGGAUCCAAAGACACCUCGGCCAAUGCAGGGCUCCUGCUCAUCUCUGGGCUGCAGCCUGAGGACGAGGCCGACUAUUACUGUGCUACAGCUCAUGGCAGUGGGAGCAGCUUAACUUACUCACAGUGGCUCAGAUGCUGAGGAAGUGAGACAGAA